rnacentral:lncRNA from 1 species
UGGAGCCCUCAUGCUAGCUGAUCAAAGUGCCAUGCCCUCUCUUAUUGCCUGCUUUCUCAGGUCACUUCCCGCAUCGAUGGUGACAGGUCAGGUCCUCCGGGUAGCAGAAAUGGCAUCAGUUGGGAGUGCUGGAGACUGCGUAGGAGAUGGCAGCUGAGGCUGACUGCCCUGGGGAAGGGAUGCCACCAGAGAAGGCACACAACCAAGAUGGUAACUCUCAAUCUUUGAGCUCCUAAUUUUCCCAUGGCAGAGAUAAGAGAAAAUAUUUUUUUUUUAAAAGAAAAAGCUUCAGGUUGCAAAAAUCUAGGCCUUUGAACUUUAAAAUCCUGUCCUUGAAAGACUUGGAGAAUAAAGCUUACACAUAAACAGUAGAUUUGGAAACAGAAAUAUGCCUAAUUACUCAGAGCCAUUCUUUCAAUACCCCAGUGAUUGUUUAAAGAUUCUGUAGGUUGGAGUCGAUGGCAGGAGGUGGGUGGGAAAGGAGGCAGGAGGAGGAGAG